AAGAGAUUAGUUAAAUUAUAACAUUAAUUUGUCAAAUUAAAAUUAUUUAUUAAUAUCGCUUA
rnacentral:tRNA from 1 species